ensembl:lncRNA
UGUUGAGUGUUUCUCAUCAUAUAUCAGUACUGAUUAUCAGAUCUAUCUAUUUCCCAGAGUUUUCUUCAAGGGACCCUGGUUUUAAAUGUGAUACACAACAGAAUCCCACAACACACCUUAAAUACAAGGAGAAUUAAAACUGCAAGCAGCGAUGACGGCCCCUCGCACCCGGGAUCACCACCACCUGGUGGUUUUAGGAAAACAGCAAACGCUGGGCAACAUGCAUUUAAAGUGGAAAAUAUAGGAGGAAUAUGUAAAAAUGUAUAUGUGACAAAGUACCUGCUGCCAGCUGGUGGCGCUAUGUUUAUAACUCAAUAUUGGCAUGUAGAUGUCUUCUGGCCAGGACCUUUAUCAAACAUGUGAAGUCUGGUGAAGAUUGAACAUGGUAUGUUUGAGUUAGUGUAAAGCAUAGCAUAUCCUGUUGCCAACAGGUGGCACUAUGAUUAUAACUGAAUAUUGGACUUAAGAUGUGUUCAGGCCAGAACUCUUAUCAAACAUGUGAAGUUUAAGGCAUAUCAGACAUCGCAUGUUUAACCCGUUGAGCGGUACGGCCCCACAUGUGGGAUUUUUAUUUCCGUGCCCCUGGGAGUACAGUCCCACAUAUGGGAUUUAGGACAUUUGGGGCAGAUUGGGCACUGCAUGCCUGAUCAAAUGUAGCGUAUUGUUGAGCUACCCAUGAUGCACUCUGCCUUGCAGUUUUUCAGAUGCUAAUGAGCUGUGGGGCUGAGUGCUCUAAAUUAGUCUGUGUGAUUGAGACUGGCCUAUUUGGAGAAGGCCUGGCUGGUCUUUGGGAAUGGAGUGAGUGGAGAGGCCCUCCGCCUCUUUUGUGUGGGCUGUAUAGGCACAGAUGUUCCCCUCGCCCCACACAGGGCCCCAAGCUCCCUAAUCGCCACCUUGUAUGCGUGUGGAUUGCACCUGCCUGCCUGCAAUCUAUCCCCUUGUUUUUCCAUGCUUUCUCAUUCCCCCUCGUUCAGUCUCUUUCUUUCAUUCUUUCAUUGGCGCUUUCAGUCUCUAUGAGAGCCUUACAAGCCGUAUGACCUCCAAAU